UUCUGCAAAAAACAAGGGACAGGUAGAUGUUACUAGAGAGGCCUCCCCGUGACACUCAAAUAUACCUCCCCACUAGCUGCAUGCUCACUUUUACCCCAAGUCACCUUCUACAAUAGAUCCUAACUCUUAUUUUUAUCCUGUAGGCUCCCAGUGGUAAAUGCACUGGGAAGUGAAAACGGAGUCAGGAGAUGGAGCCAUUGGUGUCAGGACUUACAAAAAUAUCCAUUAGCACCUGCCAAAUGUACAUGUCUACCAUAACAGUUCUUACAGAUUUAAAAGUCAGCAAGAGAAUAAGCUUUUGCUUUGUGAAGCCAUUUAAAACUGAUCAAAAUAGCUGGACAAUUACAUCUCAAGGGCCCAGUUUUGCAAAUGCUUCUCAGCAUGACCCAUGUGAUACCUCUUACAAUGCCUGGGCAGUCUCACCAAGUAUGGAGCCUACCUUAUAAAAUAUGAGGAACAAGUCAUCCAGCUGGCCAUGCAAAUCUCCUAACAGGCACAAAAAGACAAGUCACAGUAUGCUUACUUUUAACUUUAAAAGUACACCAAUAAAUAACUUUCUAUAAAGUAUCUCUAUAAAGGAAGUUCAAGGUCCAGAGUAAAGUAAUACAUUCCUGAGGCAGCAUGCCCAGAGCAAAAGGACAUGAUAUAAAGGCUUGAGCCGAAGUCUGAGUGAGAACAAACUGCUUCAGAAGCUUUGUGCAUCUCUCUUAUGAUGACACAAGAUGGCACAAGAAAUUGACUUUGAUCAUUACACAGGAGAAAGGUUUGCAUACAAAAUAAUCAAAUGAAAUUUUCAUUUAAUGUGUUAUUGACUGCACACAAAAUUCUGUGCAUAACACAUGGUUUUCAGAAAUAUCUCAAAGUUUUAACAUUAGUCUUAGAGCAGGAAAAUAAUGGUGAAAAGUUUUGUCUCUUUCAAAUUUAUCUGAUACAACUCAAAGAUGUGUGAGUGUCCUGGAUCUGAAUGCACAGAAUUAUGAAGACUUAACCAAAACAGCUCCAGGACUUGGUUGCUUAAAUAAUUCCAGGGCACAGAGCAGGACAAUAAAUGAGCCUUGAGGCCAGUCCUUGACUGGGUGCAGUUUCUGUGCUUUAGAACAGGGAUCCCAAGUUCUGGGUUACAGAACAAAGGCAAAAUUGAAUCCAGUUGAAAAAAAAAUUUAAAUUUUUGUGGUAAUGUAUAACAAUUGUAACAGCCACGGGCCAUCAUCAGCACCCCUCAUUUUAUGCUAAGACAAAUGUAUAUCCUUAUCCUCUCCUUUCAUACCUCCUCCUCUCUUUGCAUUUUUAUAAUCGCCAUGACAACACUGCUGCUACAGCAGGGUAUGGCAAGCUAAACGCUGCCAUCAAGGGGCAAUUAUCAAACCAUCCUCUUCCAGACCAAGGAGAAAUGAGGCCACAUUGGAGAAUUGCUCCCGCCAAUGCUCAGGCCAGUCUUGACAGCAGCUCAAAUACAGCACCAUAAGGGUAUUUUACCAGACAUUUUAAAGGCAGCCCCAGCUGCCUCUCAACACACAUUUUACAUAGAGGCUGCAUUUCUGUUCCACAUUUGAACAGUACCAAUUUAUAUCUUUUCCAUCCCUUCCACCUAAGCACUCUCCCUCCAAAGACUGUGUAGUGCCCUCCCACCCAGACGUACCGCACACGGUGACCUCCUCGCUGUAGCAGGUGGAGACGUGACUGAUGUUUGGCAACUGCUUGAGGUGCUUCCUGGUCUCAUGCAGAAGGUUUAAGACAUAGCGAGCAGUGGAGCUGCUACUAGGAGAAAGUGGAGGACUUAAAGCUCUGAGCAGCAACCCAGCUGCCUGCAAAGGCCCCAAGGACCCAUCACAACAGUCAGAGCUGACCUUCAGGUUUGCAAACAAGACAGCACAAAUACCAGGCAAAAGCAGAAUGGAAGAGACUUGUCCAAAGCAGCACUGCCUUGGCAUCAGCACAGCCGGCAGCAAAACCCUGUGGUGAAAUUAUAUCUGCUAUGCAACACCAUCCCCUAGAGCAGAAACUCCAGCCUGGCAUCACAGGAGGUGCAGAGCACAGAAGAGCUAUUGCUGUUGAGCAGACAGGGAACUGAGUCACAGUGAAGUCAUGGGCAAGAAGGUUGCCCUGUGUGGAAUCAAGAGUCGGAUUCAAUGACCCACAUGGAUCCCUUCCAACUCAGGAUACUCCGUAAUUCUGUAAUUGAAUUAGCAGGUAAUUCACAACUUAUUUUAUCUGAAGUUUUAAGUUUGUCAUCCUAGUGAUACACAGCACUGUCUGUUAAAAUUGUAAAGGUAAAGAAAAGUUGCAGACUUGUAGUUUGCGCCUGGUUGCUGUUCAUUCUGGAGCAUUGUUAGAGCCGAGAAACUUAAAAUUUCUUAGGUCUUAUGGGGGCUCAGGAUGAUGAGCACGCUCUGUGAGAUAUGAAGAACUAGCGUUUAAAAGGCUAUCUUAUUGGGUAUGCUGCUCUGUACCUCAUUCAAAUCAGCGUGCAAACUGCCACCCAACUGAACAUCAGAAAUGGCAUCAGAUCAAACAGCGUGAUUUAUCUGCCGUAUCUUUAUCUGCCUUGUCAGAUACUGAGCUAAAAUGAAUCUGUGUCCACGUC